CAUGUUUUAAAGUUUGCUCAAUAUGAGGUCUUCUUUUGGAGCCAUUAACCAUUGUUCCUUAGUUUGGAUGUAAUAGAAAUCUUCCUAGCUUGCUUCCCCACUUGCACAAAGGAAAGAGGAAAGUGGCUCUGUGCAAGUGUGUGAACCUUGUUCAACUUUGGAUUUUUAAGCUGAGGUAUGAUAUUCCAAAUGCAUCAAUUUUGCUUGCUUUAGUCCAGUAAUAUGUGCUGAAUACAAAUAUCAUUCAUAAAACUAGUAAGAGUAAAGGAUAUUCUUACUGGGGGGAAACAAGCUUUCAUUUUUGUGAUGUAUCAGUUUUUUAAACACCAUGUUUCUUAUUCUGCAAAGUGAAGUCAUUUAAAAAGUUUUGUGACUCAAGUGUUCCUUAAUUUAAGUCUUAUAGCAACAUGGCCACAAAAUGUUCCACUGAACUAAUGGACUCCAUUCUUAGGUACUGAAGAUUCUUUCACAUGAAUCCAUAUGUUUGGAAACAGAUAAAAUAUUAAAGCAUAAGAUAGCAUCCUUUUAGUUUAUGCUUGCCCAUACUUGGUGUUACAUAAUCCAAACAGCACUUUUUCAUAAUUGAUAGUUUAGCUUAUGAGCCAAUUACCAAUGAAAAAAUCCUAUUUGGAAUUCUCUUUGUUUUUGCAAUACAUCUUUCACUUUCUCUUUGAGAACCAUAAGUUAGAAAACCCAUACAACAGUAUUGCUGAUUUUUUUCCAUUAGAAACACACACACACACAGAGAGAGGGAGGGAGAGAGGGAGGGAGAGACUGUUCUCGGAUCAACUGAGAUAGUGAUGACUAAAAGAGCUCCCCAAACUGGAAAGCUUUAAAAGCCAGAAUAAAAGCAAAUAAAAUAAGACCAUAGAUAACAAGAUUGCAAUACACUAAAAGUCUAAUGGAAUAAAAUGUAUUUACCACCCUCUCAUCAGAAUGGAAUUUCAUUACUGGGGCACUGCUAUAGAAAAGGUCCUUUCCUGUGACCUUACCAAUUACAGCUUUCAUAUUUGAUGAAAUGAGAGAGACUGGGCCUACUAUACCUGUGUACGGCUUAUUUUGAAAGCUUUGUUUAAUGGAACACUUCCAGAAAACAGAACAGUCAGGUAUAAGGUUUUUUUUAAGGUCUGAUGUAAUUUUGGUGCUGUUUUAUACUGGGUCAUCUCCCCCCCCCCCCAUGUGUAUAGCAUCUUAAAGACUUAAAAUAAUGUUUGUAACUUGUUUUCAUCUUAUGGUAAUCAGGGGAGCCACCAGGAGGGGUUGCCAAGAGAAAGGCUAAAGUCAAAG